GAUCAAAGACUAUAAGCGCCGCGUCCUGCGGCAACAUCUUUGUGACCGACAUCGUGUC
rnacentral:sRNA from 1 species